CCCAGAGGUAUUGAUAGGUGGCAUCGUCCGCAAGGUCGAUUGCAACAGUUACACCAACCUGCGCGGAUGCGCAGGUUUUUUUU
rnacentral:sRNA from 1 species